GGGAGGCUGUCCACGUCCUCAUUUUAAAUCAGCCAAUAAGUGAGUUCGAUUUCGCCACGUCAACAUCGCUGGAUCAGAAAUGGAUUUCGGGUGGGUUUUAUAAAAAUUAUAAGUUCAUCCUUCGCAAGCCCAAAACCUAUUUCUUCUCAGAUUCCCCUCCCCCCACCCCGACUCUUUGGCUUCAUCUUCUCCGAUCUAUAUCAAUCAAUGAUCUUUAAAAUCUUUCUCAAUGUUUCAUUUUACCUCUGACGAUUCUUCAUCUUUCAAAUCCAGAUAUUUCAUGAAUUUAUCAACCACUUGGUAUAAGUUUAGGGCCAUACACACAAACCCUCACUACCCCAAACCAAGUUCUCUGUAGUUCCUACUUUUCUACUCUUCUUUUCCGUCAUGGCUCACCUCGAUUUUCUCUUCCUAAUUUACAUUCGACAAUCACACACAUGGCUAUACUUUGUGGCUAUCGAUGGUUUGAUAACACACAAUGAUUGACUCUUGCAGGCUGGUGGGCUGCUUAGAUUUUGGGAAGCAAACGUCAAAUGCGGUUGGGAGUUGAUGGAGUGUAUAUGUUUCUCCUCCAUGCCAAGAUUGCUGAAGACACUAAGGGCUAAACAAUUGUCUCACCAAAAGGUCAGAGUUUCAUAGAUUAUGACAACUGCAAUAUCUAUAGAGGAUGUGAGAAGAUAAGUUAAAACCUACGGGCGUUAUCUGGAUAUAACGAUCUGGUAUAAUUCUAUGAUGAGUUCGAGGAAAAUGCCAGUGACUACAUCGUUAUAGAAAUUAUAUAAACUGCUGUUGGUUUAUUUGGAGGUGGAGAAUACACUAAUGGAGUGGAUGCAGCAGCGGUUAUGGUGGCCAAAGCUGGGAGCAGCGACCGUCCUUCCAUUUCAUGCUUAAACAGCCCAACUUUCCUUCAUGUUGAGCUACGCCGAGAAACUAUGGUGAAGAAGCGUUACAGAAUACAAGGCUCUGUUUCCCGCAAUCGUUUUUCAACAGUACGUAAGAACAUCAUACUGGUUACAUCUGAUCAAUAUCUCUACCGAUAAUAUAUUGUUAGAAAGAUUCUUAUGCUUGAAAGUUACAAUGAUAUUUUGUGGAAGCCGAGUCUCCCCAGACGAAGUUGCAGCUAGAGGUGUAGAGUUCAUUAACUGGUGGUUACCAUGUAUACUAAAAUAACAUUUUUGUUCCUUUUUAGUUACUAAUUAUUUUUCCAUUAAUUUGAAAAUAUAUAUAUGCCAUUUGCUUUGUCAACUCUCUGGAUAAGGAAAGAAAAGGAGAUUGCAAAUAUAUCUCACAGUGUCUUUCUGCAUGGCGUCUUAACAUAAAUUACGACAUACGAUAGAGUUGUCUUUAGAGUAAGCUACCUUAAUGCAUAAACCUGAAGAAAUGCAUGAACUGUUUGCUAAUGAAACUAUUCAACAUUUUCCAGCUUCAAAAAGGUUAUGAUCAAUAUUAUAGUCUCUGAGAUGCAUGCAUCAGACGUGCAUAAAGCUAUUCAUCAUUUUCCAGCUUCAAGGUUAGAAGGUCAAGCUCCUCAAAUAUUCCCCACUAUUUGUCACACAACAAACCGAGAUGUAUCACAAUUAAAAAAAUAAAAUAUCACACUGUAAUACUAUUUGUAGCUCUAAUGUAGUAUUUGAAUUCAUUAUUUUAUUCCAUCCUAAACAAAUAUUUUCAUCGCUAAUAUAUAAAACAUGACCAGACUGUCUGCUUGAAUUGUGUUAGCAACCUUCUUGACACCAAACUCAUAUUGUUCUUUUAUUUUGAUACUUUAUGCUUGGUGUAAUGUAAUUUUGCUGCAGUAAAUAUAUCAACUUUUCCAUUUUAAUUAGUUAACUAAUAUUUUUGACUAAGUUAUAUGUUAGCUUCGAGUGAAAGAUGUUUCCAAGAACUGAAAAGUGGUUGGAAUAGAUGGAAGAAACAAGCUACUUUUGAAAGAGCCAUCGGCAAUGCAAUUUUGUCAGAUUACAUUUCAUCUGAUUCUUGAAAAAUUCAAAUACUUCAAAGAUUUUGUUAGACUACAUUUGGUGACGUUUCCAAGUAAGCUAUAUAUACACACACCGAAAAUGAAAAUAUAUGGACGAAAAGAAUUCUUUUCUUUUUAUCUUUUUCUAACGUGAAGGCAAUUAUUUCCAAUAAAUAAUUAAAUCCUAAAUAAUACUUUAAGAGAAUUUUUUACAAUAGAUAAUUAUUUAUUAUUUAAAAAAAAUAGUGGAAACAUAUACAUGCAUGUGUUAGACAAAUCUAGGACUCACAAAUUACCAACCAACAAAAUAAAAAAUCUACAUAAACAGAAUUUACAAUACCCACAGAAGAUCAAGAGUAUAUAACACACCAUAUAUUAUAAAGACAAAGAACAAAAAAAAAACAGAAAUACCAACAAAUCACAAGUUAUAAUGUACUUCACGCUUAAAUAUUUGUAGUAUUGGUAUCUUAAUGUAACUUGAAAAGACAUAAACUGAAAACCAUCACAAAAUAUCCAAUUGUAAAUUCAACGAACAAACAAAAAAAUUUUAACAAAAAAAUAUAACUUAAAUAAAAAUAAAUUACAUUCUGCAUGUAGCGUGGACCGACCACUAAAAUUUUAAAAGUAUGUAAUUAUAUUUCUGUUCAUCUCUACUAGAAAUUGUGUGUAACAAAACAAAACCAUAAUUAAAGUUUCAAAAGAUAAUAAAUGUAACUAAACAUUUAAAUUUCAAAAUAUAAUAAAUUUUCUGAUAUUGCAAAGUCUUU